rnacentral:rRNA from 1 species
GCAAGUCGAGCGGACAGAAGGGAGCUUGCUCCCGGAUGUUAGCGGCGGACGGGUGAGUAACACGUGGGUAACCUGCCUGUAAGACUGGGAUAACUCCGGGAAACCGGAGCUAAUACCGGAUAGUUCCUUGAACCGCAUGGUUCAAGGAUGAAAGACGGUUUCGGCUGUCACUUACAGAUGGACCCGCGGCGCAUUAGCUAGUUGGUGGGGUAAUGGCUCACCAAGGCGACGAUGCGUAGCCGACCUGAGAGGGUGAUCGGCCACACUGGGACUGAGACACGGCCCAGACUCCUACGGGAGGCAGCAGUAGGGAAUCUUCCGCAAUGGACGAAAGUCUGACGGAGCAACGCCGCGUGAGUGAUGAAGGUUUUCGGAUCGUAAAGCUCUGUUGUUAGGGAAGAACAAGUGCGAGAGUAACUGCUCGCACCUUGACGGUACCUAACCAGAAAGCCACGGCUAACUACGUGCCAGCAGCCGCGGUAAUACGUAGGUGGCAAGCGUUGUCCGGAAUUAUUGGGCGUAAAGGGCUCGCAGGCGGUUUCUUAAGUCUGAUGUGAAAGCCCCCGGCUCAACCGGGGAGGGUCAUUGGAAACUGGGAAACUUGAGUGCAGAAGAGGAGAGUGGAAUUCCACGUGUAGCGGUGAAAUGCGUAGAGAUGUGGAGGAACACCAGUGGCGAAGGCGACUCUCUGGUCUGUAACUGACGCUGAGGAGCGAAAGCGUGGGGAGCGAACAGGAUUAGAUACCCUGGUAGUCCACGCCGUAAACGAUGAGUGCU